rnacentral:rRNA from 1 species
GAUGAACGCUGGCGGCGUGCCUAAUACAUGCAAGUCGAGCGAACAGACCGGAAGCUGGCUUCUCUGAUGUUAGCGGCGGACGGGAGGGUAACAUGUGGAUAACCUACCUAUAAGACUGGGAGAACUUCGGGGAACGGGACCUAAUACCGGAUGAUAUUUUGGACCACAUUGGGCAAGAGUUAAAGACGGUCUUUCGGUCAGUUAUAGAUGGAUCCGCGCUGCAUUAGCAAGUUGGUAAGGUAACGGCUUACCAAGGCAACGAUGGAUAGCCGCCCUGAAAGCGUGAUUGCCCACACGGGAACAGAGACACGGCACAGACUCCUAGGGGGGGACACAGUCGAGACUCUUCCGCGAUGGGCGAAAGCCGGACGGUGCAACGCCGCGUGAGUCCUGAAGGACCUAUGACCGUAGAGCUAUGUUAUUAUGAAAGAAGAUAUGCGUAAGCAACUGUGAACAUAUUGACGGUACCUACAGAGAAAGCCACGGCUAACUCCGUG